GCUGAAGCUAGAGUCACAUCCUGGUACUUUGUCAUGCUGUUCUGGUGUGCUACAGAUACUCAGUGAAGUCUGACCCUAUUCACUGAUUGAACCUUUGUGGUUCAGCCAGUCACCUGCUCAGAUACAUAU